UACGUAGGGUGCAAGCGUUGUCCGGAAUCAUUGGGCGUAAAGCGCGCGUAGGUGGUCAUGUAAGUCCGCUGUGAAAGUCAAAGGCUCAACCUUUGAAAGCCGGUGGAUACUGCAUGACUAGAGUACGGAAGAGGCGAGUGGAAUUCCUGGUGUAGCGGUGGAAUGCGCAGAUAUCAGGAGGAACACCGGUGGCGAAGGCGGGUCUCUGGGCCGAUACUGACGCUGAGGAGCGAAAGCGUGGGGAGCGAACAGG
rnacentral:rRNA from 1 species